rnacentral:rRNA from 1 species
UACGUAGGGUGCGAGCGUUGUCCGGAAUUAUUGGGCGUAAAGAGCUUGUAGGUGGCUCGUUGCGUCGGGAGUGAAAACCUGCGGCUUAACCGCAGGCCUGCUUCCGAUACGGGCGAGCUAGAGUUCGGCAGGGGAGACUGGAAUUCCUGGUGCAGCGGUGAAAUGCGCAGAUAUCAGGAGGAACACCGAUGGCGAAGGCAGGUCUCUGGGCCACUACUGACGCUGAGAAGCGAAAGCAUGGGGAGCGAACAGG